AGAUAUUCUUGAUGAAAGGUCGGGAUAAGUCUGAUUAGGUUGUUGCUUGCCACUCUAAUCAGUGCAUUUCAUCAUGGGAAUGGUAAUACAAGGCAGAUGGCUGAGAAUAUCUUGAGGAUUUUAAACAAGGUACCCAGUAUUCCUACUUCCAACUAUACCUUGUAGAAAAUAAUUACAACGAAUUGUUGCUGCUGUUAAGUGUAGCUAAAAUUACUAUAAACACGUCUCAACUGUAGUGUUAUCUUGGUAAGUGUUAAAUAGGGAGUUCUGUAAUCAAUUUUGAGUAGCCAAACCUAUCUUCUUGCCAUUUAUGAAAAGUUGGAUUCAUUAUGCCGGCCUCAAGGUGGGAUAUGUUAGAGUGGAAGGUUUAGUAAACCAAAGGCAAAACUCGUUUAGAGUAAAGGAACACAAGCAAGAUAACUAAUUCAAGACAAACUUCACCUGCUUUUACUUCAAUUUUCAUAAAACAAUAGGCAAAAAAAUUUGAUAUCUUUUCUUCUACAAACACCUCCAACUAUGAUUGGUAAGUUUUACUUGUGAAGGGAAUGUAAAGUUCAGAGUGAAGAAAAAGUUAAAAAAUUGCAAAAGCAUUUAAAUACAAUUCAACAUGCAGCUAAUUGUUUGCAAAAGAAGAAUUAUGGAGAUUUUAUUUUCUAGAGUACAAGAACGACUUUCAACUACAGAAGCCAUUGUUUAUUCUCAGGGAAAAUAUCAUACAGAAGGCAAGAAUUGAACAAAAUCAGGACAAACAGUGAAAACAGAAAAUAAAGACUCUAAACGGGAUGCCAUCAACUGGGACAUUGUAUGCAAACGCAAUAGAGAAAUCCCGUCACUUACAAGACAUCCAUUAGCAUUGGCCAUUGGAUGAUACAGCAUCAUGUAAAAUUGGAUCAUACCCUUGCAAUGUAUCUGUAAACUAACAUCAUUUAUAAUAAUUAUGUUAUAGUUUAAUCAAGCCUUUAAUAUUGAUU
rnacentral:misc_RNA from 1 species